UACAGAGGUCUCAAGCGUUGUUCGGAUUCAUUGGGCGUAAAGGGUGCGUAGGUGGCUUGUUAAGUCAGGGGUGAAAGUUUUCGGCCCAACCGGAAAAUGGCCUUUGAUACUGGCGAGCUCGAGUGCGUGAGGGGUAACCGGAACGAGCAGUGUAGCGGUGAAAUGCGUAGAUAUUGCUCGGAAGGCCAACGGCGAAGGCAGGUUACUGGUACGCAACUGACACUGAGGCACGAAAGCGUGGGGAGCAAACAGG
rnacentral:rRNA from 1 species